AAUCAAGGCGCCAUUUUUAAAGUAUUCUCAUAGCCCCUGACGCGGGUAGGACGCGUAGUGCUGAGCUUGGCCCCAUUUCACAGAGGAGGGGACUCUCUGGGUGUCUCCGCGGCAGCAGGAGGGCGCGGCCGAAGCCCCAAGCCCGGUCCUCCGCCGCCACCAACACCUUCCAGCCGGCCGGGUAUCCCCCUGCCGGCUGGGACUUUCGACUUUAUCAGCUCGACAGCAGCAAGAACAAAUCAUGCAUUGCUGGAGUGAGUCACCAGGGAACCCAUCUCUGACUGAGUUCUUUGCUGUCCACGGUCCAACACUGCCCCCUCGUGUUGAAGGGUUGGGUUUUAAUCCCCUCUCUGGAGCUUCCCUGGUGGUUCAGCUGGUAAAGAAUCCACCUGCAAUGUGGGAGACCUGGAUUCAAUCCCUGGGUUGGAAAGAUCCCCUGGAGAAGAGAAUGGCUACCCACUCCAAUAUUCUACCCUGGAGAUUUCCAUGGACAGAGGAGCCUGGCAGGCUGCAGUCCAUGGGGUCGCAGAGUCAGACACAACUGAGUGACUUUCACUUUCUGUUUCCAGAGUCUGGAACAUUGCUUGACACUUGGUAAACAGUCCAUAAAUACUUAUGAACUGACUUCAGGCAGUUUCUGUCAUCAACAGUCAUGUGCUGACACUGUUUUGGGGCCCUGGUUAAGACAAGGCAUCUAC
ensembl:lncRNA